UACACACCGCCCGUCACACCAUGGGAAUUGGAUCUACCCGAAGGUGGUGCGCCAACCGCAAGGAGGCAGCCAACCACGGUAGGUUCAGUGACUGGGGUG
rnacentral:rRNA from 1 species